CUGACAAGUGGCGGACGGGUGAGUAACGCGUGGGAAUCUGCCUACUAGCGGGGGAUAGCCCGGAGAAAUCCGGAUUAAUACCGCAUACGCCCUACGGGGGAAAGCUGGGGAUCUUCGGACCUGGCACUAGUAGAUGAGCCCGCGUUGGAUUAGCUUGUUGGUGGGGUAAAGGCCUACCAAGGCAACGAUCCAUAGCUGUUCUGAGAGGAAGAUCAGCCACACUGGGACUGAGACACGGCCCAG
rnacentral:rRNA from 1 species